rnacentral:rRNA from 1 species
UGGGGAAUUUUGGACAAUGGGCGAAAGCCUGAUCCAGCAAUGCCGCGUGUGUGAAGAAGGCCUUCGGGUUGUAAAGCACUUUUGUCCGGAAAGAAAUCCUUGGCUCUAAUACAGUCGGGGGAUGACGGUACCGGAAGAAUAAGCACCGGCUAACUACGUGCCAGCAGCCGCGGUAAUACGUAGGGUGCAAGCGUUAAUCGGAAUUACUGGGCGUAAAGCGUGCGCAGGCGGUUUGCUAAGACCGAUGUGAAAUCCCCGGGCUCAACCUGGGAACUGCAUUGGUGACUGGCAGGCUAGAGUAUGGCAGAGGGGGGUAGAAUUCCACGUGUAGCAGUGAAAUGCGUAGAGAUGUGGAGGAAUACCGAUGGCGAAGGCAGCCCCCCUGGGCCAAUACUGACGCUCAUGCACGAAAGCGUGGGGGAGCAAAACAGGAUUAGAUACCCCUGGUAGUCCACGCCCUAAAACGAUGUCAACUAGUUGUUGGGGGAUUCAUUUCCUUAGUAACGUAGCUAACGCGUGAAGUUGACCGCCUGGGGAGUACGGUCGCAAGAUUAAAACUUAAAGGAAUU